rnacentral:rRNA from 1 species
AGUGAACGCUGGCGGUAGGCCUAACACAUGCCAGUCGAACGGCAGCACAGUAAGAGCUUGCUCUUACGGGUGGCGAGUGGCGGACGGGUGAGGAAUACAUCGGAAUCUACUUUUUCGUGGGGGAUAACGUAGGGAAACUUACGCUAAUACCGCAUACGACCUACGGGUGAAAGCAGGGGAUCUUCGGACCUUGCGCGAUUGAAUGAGCCGAUGUCGGAUUAGCUAGUUGGCGGGGUAAAGGCCCACCAAGGCGACGAUCCGUAGCUGGUCUGAGAGGAUGAUCAGCCACACUGGAACUGAGACACGGUCCAGACUCCUACGGGAGGCAGCAGUGGGGAAUAUUGGACAAUGGGCGCAAGCCUGAUCCAGCAAUACCGCGUGGGUGAAGAAGGCCUUCGGGUUGUAAAGCCCUUUUGUUGGGAAAGAAAAGCAGCAGGUUAAUCCCCCGCUGUUCUGACGGUACCCAAAGAAUAAGCACCGGCUAACUUCGUG